CAUAGCCCCAAAUAACAGCAGGGUCAAGGGUGGGGUUAGUAAUGACACGAACGUCACCACCACCAGGAGCCCACGUGUCGUAGACACCGCCAAACAGGGUGGCUUUGAAUACGAGCAAUAGAGCACCAAUACCCAAAAGAAUCAGGUGAUAACCAAUAAUGUUGGUCAUCUGAUUCUUGUCCUUCCA
rnacentral:antisense_RNA from 1 species